rnacentral:rRNA from 1 species
CCUACGGGGGGCUGCAGUAAGGAAUAUUGGUCAAUGGACGCAAGUCUGAACCAGCCAUGCCGCGUGGAGGAUGAAGGUCCUCUGGAUUGUAAACUUCUUUUAUUUGGGAAGAAACUCCCGAUUUCCAUCGGGAUUGACGGUACCAGCUGAAUAAGCACCGGCUAACUCCGUGCCAGCAGCCGCGGUAAUACGGAGGGUGCAAGCGUUAUCCGGUUUCAGUGUGUGUAGAGGGGCCGGUAAGGCACUGGUAAAAUUUCCGGGCUUAACCCGGAAACUGCCAUUGAUACUAUUUGUCUUGAAUACUCUGGAGGUGAGCGGAAUAUGUCAUGUAGCGGUGAAAUGCUUAGAUAUGACAUAGAACACCCAUUGCGAAGGCAGCUCACUACGGAAAUAUUGACGCUGAGGCACGAAAGCGUGGGGAGCAAACAGGAUUAGAUACCCCAGUAGUC